rnacentral:rRNA from 1 species
CUACGUGCCAGCAGCCGCGGUAAUACGUAGGGCGCGAGCGUUGUCCGGAAUUAUUGGGCGUAAAGAGCUUGUAGGCGGUUUGUCGCGUCUGCUGUGAAAGGCCGGAGCUUAACUCCGUGUAUUGCAGUGGGUACGGGCAGACUAGAGUGCAGUAGGGGAGACUGGAAUUCCUGGUGUAGCGGUGGAAUGCGCAGAUAUCAGGAGGAACACCGAUGGCGAAGGCAGGUCUCUGGGCUGUAACUGACGCUGAGAAGCGAAAGCAUGGGGAGCGAACAGGAUUAGAUACCCUGGUAGUCCAUGCCGUAAACGUUGGGCACUAGGUGUGGGGAACAUUCCACGUUUUCCGCGCCGUAGCUAACGCAUUAAGUGCCCCGCCUGGGGAGUACGGCCGCAAGGCUAAAACUCAAAGAAAUUGACGGGGGCCCGCACAAGCGGCGGAGCAUGCGGAUUAAUUCGAUGCAACGCGAAGAACCUUACCAAG